rnacentral:rRNA from 1 species
CCUACGGGAGGCAGCAGUGGGGGAUAUUGCACAAUGGGGGAAACCCUGAUGCAGCGACGCCGCGUGUGGGAAGACGGUCCUCUGGAUUGUAAACCACUGUCCCCAGGGACGAAGAUGACGGUACCUGGGGAGGAAGCUCCGGCUAACUACGUGCCAGCAGCCGCGGUAAUACGUAGGGAGCGAGCGUUGGCCGGAAUUACUGGGUGUAAAGGGAGCGUAGGCGGGACUGCAAGUUGGGGGUCAAAUCUACCGGCUCAACCGGUAGCCGCACUCAAAACUGCAGUUCUUGAGUGAAGUAGAGGCAGGCGGAAUGCCUGGUGUAGCGGUGAAAUGCGUAGAUAUUAGGAGGAACGCCAGUGGCGAAGGCGGCCUGCUGGGCUUUUACUGACGCUGAGGCUCGAAAGUGUGGGGAGCGAACAGGAUUAGAUACCCUGGUAGUC